rnacentral:lncRNA from 1 species
GUGGGAAGCAAAGUGACCCCCAAGGUGCAGGGUUGGACACAGGAUGGUGGACUCUUUCUCCUGCUGCCUUGCCCAGAAAGGGAACCAGCCUCCAGAGCUAUUCUUUUUCCUCUUGUCAACUCUGAACACAGCAAGUUUUGCUUGAAUUUCAGUGACCUUAAGAACUGUUUCUUUAAAUGAGUCCAGAUUUGAUUGGUUUAUUGUGUGGAACAAUUUAUGCUCCAGGGACUGUUGAAAUCAAUCAAUAGAGCAAUCAGCUGGAAGAAGCAAAAAUGAUAACUUGG